UACAGAGGGGGCAAGCGUUGUUCGGAUUCAUUGGGCGUAAAGGGUGCGUAGGUGGCGCCGUAAGUCAGGUGUGAAAUUUCGGAGCUUAACUCCGAAACUGCAUUUGAUACUGCGGUGCUCGAGGACUGGAGAGGAGACUGGAAUUUACGGUGUAGCAGUGAAAUGCGUAGAGAUCGUAAGGAAGACCAGUGGCGAAGGCGGGUCUCUGGACAGUUCCUGACACUGAGGCACGAAGGCCAGGGGAGCGAACAGG
rnacentral:rRNA from 1 species